GAAAUGCGAUAAGUAAUGUGAAUUGCAGAAUUCAGUGAAUCAUCGAAUCUUUGAACGCACAUUGCGCCCCCUGGUAUUCCGGGGGGCACGCCUGUUCGAGCGCCAUUUCAACCCUCAAGCCACGCUUGGUGAUGGGCACCGCCUGCGGGCGAGCCCGAAACUCGUGGGCGCCGACGGCCGGCUCCGAGCGUAGCAAGACCCUCGCUCGGAACCUCGGUCGUGGGCCGCCCCGGACCUCUCACACCUCACAAGGUUGGCCUCGGAUCAGGCGGGGAUACCCGCUGAACUUAA
rnacentral:misc_RNA from 1 species